rnacentral:rRNA from 1 species
GAUGAACGCUGGCGGCGUGCCUAAUACAUGCAAGUCGAGCGAACGGACGAGAAGCUUGCUUUUCUGAUGUUAGCGGCGGACGGGUGAGUAACACGUGGAUAACCUACCUAUAAGACUGGGAUAACUUCGGGAAACCGGAGCUAAUACCGGAUAAUAUUUUGAACCGCAUGGUUCAAAAGUGAAAGACGGUCUUGCUGUCACUUAUAGAUGGAUCCGCGCUGCAUUAGCUAGUUGGUAAGGUAACGGCUUACCAAGGCAACGAUGCAUAGCCGACCUGAGAGGGUGAUCGGCCACACUGGAACUGAGACACGGUCCAGACUCCUACGGGAGGCAGCAGUAGGGAAUCUUCCGCAAUGGGCGAAAGCCUGACGGAGCAACGCCGCGUGAGUGAUGAAGGUCUUCGGAUUGUAAAACUCUGUUAUUAGGGAAGAACAUAUGUGUAAGUAACUGUGCACAUCUUGACGGUACCUAAUCAGAAAGCCACGGCUAACUACGUG